AAUAAGUGUCUUUAAACUAUGAAUGAUUUUACUUUUGCUUAAAAGUAUGCAACUGAUUUAUGCAAUUGAGUUCAUCGCUUUAAAAAUAUUGUGUGAAUGUCUUUAAUAAUCCCAUCAUUGUGAUGACGAAUUAUCGAUGUUUUCUUAUCAGCUUAAAUUCAUUAAAAGAAUUAGUAAGAUUUAAUAUUGUGACAAUCAAUAAUGGAAAACAUUGAUUUUAAUGUGGAGUACGGCAAUCUUCAAUUGGGUAAUUUUAUAGACGGUGGUGAUGUUUACAAAGCACAUUGGAGAACUGAAAACAAAGCGAUUGUUGUUAAUCGCGUCGUGGCGUCAUAAACGAUGCAGGAAAUAAUGAAAAAGCAAUUUUAAAUGAAAUUAAAAACAUAAAAGUUCUCAAUCAUCCGAAUAUUAUCACUUUUUAUGGAGUAACAAAAGAUUCCGAAAAUAGAAUUUGCAUGCUUUUUGAGUUCGCCGAUUGUGGUUCACUCUACAGCUGCUUGCAUGAAUCGAAUAUAAAAAUAACACUAGAUGGAAAGCUUAAUUGGAUGAGCCAGAUAGCAAAGGGCAUGGAAUACUUACAUGACCAAAAAAAGUCCAUCGGGAUCUUAAGUCUAAGAACCUUUUGCUUUGCAACAAAUAUCGUACGGUGAAAAUAUGUGAUUUUGGCACAAUUAAAGAACUUGCAACGGUUAAUACGGAAGGUAUUGGGACAUAUGUUUAUAUCGAUCCAG